UACGAAGGGGGCUAGCGUUGCUCGGAAUCACUGGGCGUAAAGCGCACGUAGGCGGAUUGUUAAGUCAGGGGUGAAAUCCCGGAGCUCAACUCCGGAACUGCCUUUGAUACUGGAGAUCUUGAGUCCGGGAGAGGUGAGUGGAACUCCGAGUGUAGAGGUGAAAUUCGUAGAUAUUCGGAAGAACACCAGUGGCGAAGGCGACUACCUGGCCUGUUUCUUGACGCUGAGGCGCGAAAGCUAGGGGAGCAAACGGG
rnacentral:rRNA from 1 species